rnacentral:lncRNA from 1 species
UAGAAUAAAAUAUCAUAUAAAUAUUAAUUUAGUAUAGUGUCACGUGAGUUUUGUUUUCUAACCAAAACCUUGCCCAUGUGCGGCCUAGCUUGCUUGAUUUCCCCGAAAGUCAAGAUAGCUAGUCAGCCUACCUUUGAUUGCCAAACCCGGCAGAAUGAUAGCAAAUAUGCUAGCGGAAGUAAUUUCACGAAAGUGGCACAAAGAGACGCAAGAGUUAUGGAAGUGUAUACUUAUAUUGAUUAAUUCACACUAAAGCUACUUACAAUGAGCACACUUUCUCUCUCUACAAGCUCUCUUCCUCUCCUUUUCUCCAUACAAUAUGUAUUAAUUUACAUAACUACUUCCUACAACAAUCUCUACAUAGAGCAUCUUUCUUUGCUCUAUGUAGAGCAACAACACUCUUUCCCUCUAUAUGGCUACAUUUUGGCACACCUUGUGCCCACACUCUUCUUUUAUUUCUGCCCUUGUUCCCUUUUAUGGACUCUCACUCUUCAGCCCUCUUCUUUUCUCUCUCUCUUUCUCUUUCCCUCUUCCUCCCUUCCAAAUGAUACAAGGAAGGGGUAUUUAUAGUCUUUUCCCCCUGUCCGCCAACAUGGCCGUGUUCCAGGCCGUGUUGGAAACACAGUUUGGGGUAAUUGGCCGUGUUACCUACUGUGGCCGUGUUUCCCGAAGCUUCUAGGCCUUUCGCAUUUGUAUUCAACCAACACAGGCGUGUCCUUGGGCGUAUUCGUCAACACGGGCAGGGUUGAAACUAACACGGGCGUGUCCUUGGGCAUGUUGGUCAACACGGGCAGUGUUGAAACCAACACGGCCGUGUCCGUCCAUACGGGCAUUCUUUAGGCAGUUUUCGGCGCAUCGGUAGCCUUCCUGGCCUGGUUGCGAGGCGGGCACGUGACAAUAGGGGGUUACUUAAGUUGUAAUGAGUCUUAUUUGUAUUAUAACAUAUGAGUAGUUUAAUAAGUAAAAUGGGUUGACUAAAUCAACCAGUUUAAUAGAUGUUGACAGAAAAUUAAGAAGAGAGAAC